UUUGCGUUAGGGAUUGCAGCGGCAGCUUUUUUGUUUUUCACAAAAAACUAUAGCGGAAAGCCCGAUCCGCC
rnacentral:sRNA from 1 species